UUAAAUUGAAGAGUUUGAUCAUGGCUCAGAUUGAACGCUGGCGGCAGGCCUAACACAUGCAAGUCGAACGGUAACAGGAAACAGCUUGCUGUUUCGCUGACGAGUGGCGGACGGGUGAGUAAUGUCUGGGAAACUGCCCGAUG
rnacentral:rRNA from 1 species